rnacentral:rRNA from 1 species
AGCGAACGCUGGCGGCAGGCUUAACACAUGCAAGUCGAACGCAUCCUUCGGGGUGAGUGGCAGACGGGUGAGUAACACGUGGGAACGUACCCUUCGAUCUGGGAUAACUUCGGGAAACUGGAGCUAAUACCGGAUACGCCCUUUUGGGGAAAGGUUUACUGUCGAAGGAUCGGCCCGCGUCUGAUUAGCUAGUUGGUGGGGUAACGGCCUACCAAGGCGACGAUCAGUAGCUGGUCUGAGAGGAUGAUCAGCCACACUGGGACUGAGACACGGCCCAGACUCCUACGGGAGGCAGCAGUGGGGAAUAUUGGACAAGGGGCGCAAGCCUGAUCCAGCCAUGCCGCGUGAGUGAUGAAGGCCUUAGGGUUGUAAAGCUCUUUUGUCCGGGACGAUAAUGACGGUACCGGAAGAAUAAGCCCCGGCUAACUUCGUG